rnacentral:rRNA from 1 species
UGGGCGUAAAGCGUGCGUAGCGGCUUUUAAGUCGGAUGUGAAAUCCCUGAGCGUAACUUAGGAAUUGCAUUCGAUACUGGAAAGCUAGAGUAUGGGAGAGGAUGGUAGAAUUCCAGGUGUAGCGGUGAAAUGCGUAGAGAUCUGGAGGAAUACCGAUGGCGAAGGCAGCCAUCUGGCCUAAUACUGACGCUGAGGUACGAAAGCAUGGGGAGCAAACAGGAUUAGAUACCCUGGUAGUCCAUGCCGUAAACGAUGUCUACUAGCCGUUGGGGCCUUUGAGGCUUUAGUGGCGCAGCUAACGCGAUAAGUAGACCGCCUGGGGAGUACGGUCGCAAGACUAAAACUCAAAUGAAUUGACGGGGGCCCGCACAAGCGGUGGAGCAUGUGGUUUAAUUCGAUGCAACGCGAAGAACCUUACCUGGCCUUGACAUACUAAGAACUUUCCAGAGAUGGAUUGGUGCCUUCGGGAACUUAGAUACAGGUGCUGCAUGGCUGUCGUCAGCUCGUGUCGUGAGAUGUUGGGUUAAGUCCCGCAACGAGCGCAACCCUUUUCCUUAUUUGCCAGCGGGUAAUGCCGGGAACUUUAAGGAUACUGCCAGUGACAAACUGGAGGAAGGCGGGGACGACGUCAAGUCAUCAUGGCCCUUACGGCCAGGGCUACACACGUGCUACAAUGGUCGGUACAAAGGGUUGCUACCUCGCGAGAGGAUGCUAAUCUCAAAAAGCCGAUCGUAGUCCGGAUCGCAGUCUGCAAC